rnacentral:rRNA from 1 species
ACGUAGGGUCCAAGCGUUGUCCGGAUUUACUGGGCGUAAAGAGCGCGUAGGCGGUCUGUUAAGUGUGAAGUGAAAUCUCCAGGGCUCAACCCGGAAACUGCUUCGCAUACUGGCGGACUUGAGGAAUGCAGAGGUUUGUGGAAUUCCUGGUGUAGCGGUGAAAUGCGUUGAUAUCAGGAGGAACACCCAUGGCGAAGGCAGCAAACUGGGCAUUAUCUGACGCUGAGGCGCGAAAGCUAGGGGAGCAAACGGGA